rnacentral:rRNA from 1 species
AAAUCUGGUUGAUCCUGCCAGAGGCGACCGCUUUUGGAGUUCGAUUAAGCCAUGCGAGUCGAGAGCCUUUGGGGCUCGGCAUACUGCUCAGUAACACGUGGAUAACCUGCCCUAUUGUCUGGAAUA